rnacentral:misc_RNA from 1 species
GUGAAUCAUCGAAUCUUUGAACGCAAAUUGCACUCUCUUCUGAUCGUAUGCCUGUUUGAGGUUCAGUAUUAAUAAAAAUCGGUUUGUUGCUUCUUUGUGACGCUUCGGUGUUUGGGUCAUCUUAAUAUCCUUUAGGUUUUAAGAGGCUUAAAUUGACUUUUUUUGCGCAUUUUAGAUGUACUUAAUUU